UACGGAGGGUCCAAGCGUUAUCCGGAAUCAUUGGGUUUAAAGGGUCCGUAGGCGGUUUUGUAAGUCAGUGGUGAAAGCCCAUCGCUCAACGGUGGAACGGCCAUUGAUUCUGCAAAACUUGAAUUAUUGGGAAGUAACUAGAAUAUGUAGUGUAGCGGUGAAAUGCUUAGAUAUUACAUGGAAUACCAAUUGCGAAGGCAGGUUACUAUCAAUAUAUUGACGCUGAUGGACGAAAGCGUGGGGAGCGAACAGG
rnacentral:rRNA from 1 species